AAUGAACGCUGGCGGCGCGCCUAACACAUGCAAGUCGAGCGAGAAAGUUCCUUCGGGAGCGAGUAAAGCGGCAAACGAGUGCGUAACACGUGAGAAUUUACCCUUCAGUGAGGAAUACCUUCGAGAAAUUGAAGUUAAUACUGCAUACGUCCCUUCGGGGAGAAAGAUGGCCUCUUUGCUAUCGCUGAGGGAUAAGCUUGCGGACUAUCAGCUAGUUGGUGAGGUAAUGGCUCACCAAGGCGAUGACGGUUAGCCGGCCUGAGAGGGUGAACGGCCACGCUGGAACUUAGACACGGUCCAGACUCCUACGGGAGGCAGCAGUGAGGAAUAUUGCGCAAUGGGCGAAAGCCUGACGCAGCGACGCCGCGUGGAGGAUGAAGGUCUUCGGAUUGUAAACUUCUGUUAAGUGAGACGAAAGACUCAUCUCUAAUACAGAUGAGGGAUGACGGUACCACUAGAGAAAGCACCGGCUAAUCUCGUGCCAGCAGCCGCGGUAAUACGAGAGGUGCAAGCGUUAUUCGGAUUUAUUGGGCGUAAAGGGUGUGCAGACGGUUUAUUAAGUCACCUGUUAAAUUCUCCAGCCUAACUGGAGCUCUGCGGGUGAAACUAAUAUGACUAGAGGAUGGAAGAGAGAAGUGGAAUUCUCGGAGUAGCGGUAAAAUGCGUAGAUCUCGAGAGGAACACCGAUGGCGAAGGCAGCUUCUUGGUCCAUAUCUGACGUUCAAACACGAAAGCGUGGGGAGCAAACAGGAUUAGAUACCCUGGUAGUCCACGCUGUAAACGAUGAUCACUAGACGUUAGUCUCGCUUUGCGAGAUUAGUGUCGUAGCUAACGCGUUAAGUGAUCCGCCUGGGGAUUACGGUCGCAAGACUAAAACUCAAAGGAAUUGACGGGGGCCCGCACAAGCGGUGGAACAUGUGGUUUAAUUCGACAAUACGCGAGGAACCUUACCUAGGUUUGACAUGCUUUAGACAGUCGUAGAAAUACGAUCUUUUGGGCUUCGGUCCAGACUAUUGCACAGGUGCUGCAUGGCUGUCGUCAGCCUCGUGUCGUGAGAUGUUGGGUUAAGUCCUUUAACGAGCGCAACCCCUAUCGUCAGUUGCUAUUGCGUGAGCAAGCACUCUGGCGAGACUGCCUGGGAAACCAGGAGGAAGGUGGGGACGACGUCAAGUCAUCAUGGUCCUUAUACCUAGGGCUACACACGUGUUACAAUGGUCGGUACAAAGGGUCGCAAUUCCGCGAGGAGGAGCCAAUCCCUAAAGCCGAUCUAAGUUCGGAUUGGAGUCUGCAACCCGACUCCAUGAAGUUGAAAUCGCUAGUAAUCGCAUAUCAGCAACGAUGCGGUGAAUACGUUCUCGGGCCUUGUACACACCGCCCGUCACACCAUGAGAGCUGUUUGUACCCAAAAACGCUUUAGCCAACCUGAAAAGGAGGCGAGCGUCUAAGGUAUGGGGAGUGAUUGGGGUG
rnacentral:rRNA from 1 species